GAGUUUGAUCCUGGCUCAGAACGAACGCUGGCGGCAGGCUUAACACAUGCAAGUCGAGCGCCCCGCAAGGGGAGCGGCAGACGGGUGAGUAACGCGUGGGAAUCUACCCAACUCUACGGAAUAACCCAGGGAAACUUGUGCUAAUACCGUAUAAGCCCUUCGGGGAAAGAUUUAUCGGAAAGGAUGAGCCCGCGUUGGAUUAGCUAGUUGGUGGGGUAAAGGCCUACCAAGGCGACGAUCCAUAGCUGGUCUGAGAGGAUGAUCAGCCACAUUGGGACUGAGACACGGCCCAAACUCCUACGGGAGGCAGCAGUGGGGAAUAUUGGACAAUGGGCGCAAGCCUGAUCCAGCCAUGCCGCGUGAGUGAUGAAGGCCCUAGGGUUGUAAAGCUCUUUCACCGGUGAAGAUAAUGACGGUAACCGGAGAAGAAGCCCCGGCUAACUUCGUGCCAGCAGCCGCCGUAAG
rnacentral:rRNA from 1 species